rnacentral:rRNA from 1 species
CAGCCGCCGCGGUAAUACGUAGGGUGCGAGCGUUAAUCGGAAUUACUGGGCGUAAAGCGUGCGCAGGCGGUUACUCAAGUCAGAGGUGAAAGCCCGGGGCUCAACCCCGGAACUGCCUUUGAAACUAGGUGACUAGAAUCUUGGAGAGGUCAGUGGAAUUCCGAGUGUAGAGGUGAAAUUCGUAGAUAUUCGGAAGAACACCAGUGGCGAAGGCGGCUGACUGGACAAGCAUUGACGCUGAGGUGCGAAAGCGUGGGGAGCAAACAGGAUUAGAUACCCGAGUAGUCCCUGUCUCUUAUAC